rnacentral:rRNA from 1 species
UACAGAGGGUGCAAGCGUUAAUCGGAAUUACUGGGCGUAAAGCGUGCGCAGACGGUUGCGUAAGUCAGAUGUGAAAGCCCCGGGCUCAACCUGGGAAUUGCAUUUGAGACUGCGUAGCUAGGGUGCGGAAGAGGGGAGCGGAAUUUCCGGUGUAGCGGUGAAAUGCGUAGAUAUCGGAAGGAACACCAGUGGCGAAAGCGGCUUCCUGGUCCAGCACCGACGUUCAGGCACGAAAGCGUGGGGAGCAAACAGG